GAAAAUCCACGACUUAGCUGGUACCCUGCAGGUGUGGGUUGGCCUCUACAGAGACCGCUGGCAGUGGUCAGACCAGAGCUACUCCUCAUUGAGAUACUGGAACGUACGACAAGCUGUAUAUACUGUUUCUCCCGGGAGCUGUGGCGCUAUGUUGAAGAGUGACUCCGGUCGGUGGGGAGAGCUGCCAUGUGGAAAAAGACACCCAUUCCUCUGUUCCUGCAGCCACAUUGUGAGGCUCAUUAAAGUGAAGAUAAGCCUACAGGACUCAGUGUUGGACCUCUAUGACCCUGCAGUGCCAGAUGACAUCUUGGAGCAGAUGAGGCAGGAGCUGAGUAAAAGUAUAAAUGGUACUUUUCAACUCCAGUGGCGAAAACAGCCUGAUGGGAGAGUCUUUAUCAAAGAGACUCGCCGAAGUGGCUGAAGAGAGAAGAACACAAACAGCAACUCUGACUUUCAAGGGUCCAGUGUACAUACUUAAUAACACAUUUAAAGAAUGAGUGUGGAUGAAACUCAUAGCACCACCUGAAGACUAAUGUAAUAGUAUAUACAUAUAUAGUGUGUGCAGUGUGAACAUGUACUCUAUGCACAAAACAUUUACAGAUUUUAAUGUGAUGUGCAACAAAUAAUAGAAAAACUGACAUAAACAAGUUAAAAUCAUAUAUAUAAUAGCACAAUCACACUAAAAGGUCCACGUGGAGCUAGCUGUUUUUACCUAGUAGCCUAGUAAAAGUGAUGAGAAUAAACCAAAUAUGGACACAGAUACAUUAUAUUUACAUAUUAUAAUUAAGCAGAUACAUUCAAACUUUGUGUUUCAACAACGUGUGGUUAGGUUUAGGCGUGAAAGAUCAUGUUUUGGCUUGAAAUACCCAGUUUUCGUGGCACUGUCCUGGCAAACAACGCAGCAAUGUUUCAGUAAAACACUUUUUGUGGCACUAUUCCCAGUGUUUCCUCUUUGUAAAAAUCAAUUACUUUUCGCAACACUAUCCCAACUGGUUGCAAAAUAACACCCAUGUUUGGUGCCCAAAAAGCCGCUUGUAGCAGUAGCUAAUUAUUUUAUUUUAUUUAUUUUUUGUUUUGUUUUGUUUUAUUUUAUCUUAUUUUAUUUCAUUUCAUUUUAUUUACUUGGUGCAGUGAGUUUGUGACAAUUCUGUUUUUCUUACUCUGUUUCUGUCCUAAUUUUGGGUUGAUUGUCUCAUUGAUUUUGUGUGAUUUUAAUUGAUGUACUUUUAAUGUUGUUUUGUGAGUGGACCUCAGGAAGACUAGCGACGACUUUGUGGAUGUUAAUGGGGAUCUGAAUAAAGUCCACAGGAACUGGAGGGUCGCCUCUUGAAGUCCCCGUCCAGACCAAAUAUGGAGCAUGGACUGGCAGCUGGAGAGGCGCCAGUUCACCUUUGGACAAGGCACCAAACCCCCAACUUCUCAGGGCGCCUGUCCAUGAGCAGCACCCUCAAUGUGCAUCUCUUCAAUUAAUCCAUAUAUAGGUCCUGUUUAUGCGUGCACAACCUGAUUGUUGGUCUGCAGCUUGGCAGGUGUGUCCUCUCAGUAAAAAUCAAUCGCUUUUCAUGGCACUAUCUCAGCAGAAAAACUGGUCACCAUAAAAACCAAUGCUUUUUUGCAACGUCACUUCAGAAACAUUGACAUGAUAUGUAUGAAACCUACAAAUUUAUCGUAUUUGUGGUUUGCAGAACUGGUCUGGACUGGUCCCAACAGCACUAACAUUGGAAAUUUAUGCAACAGAAACCCAACAUAAUGUUCUUUGUGCCUUUCCUCUGUUGCUCCUCCUGAGGUUUCUUCCUUUUCUUUUUUUAAUGAGUUGUUUGGGGGAAGUUUUUCAGAGGGUGUUGUAUGCUGUCUAGAUUGCCAGGAAGGUCAAUUAACUCGGUGUUUUAUAUAAAUGAAAUUGAAUUGACCUAAACUUACACAUCAAAAAAUUAAAAAUGUAUGCCUUUAAAAAUAAAUAU